rnacentral:sRNA from 1 species
AGUGCUUGAAGGUAUCUAGUGGUGUUUUCAGCCUUCUUGGACGUGCUGGACCACGAACACUGCUUUGGUGCUGUUUGUGUUCAUGGUAGGAUAAGACUUUGAUUCAACCAGUACUUCUGGAGUGUGUGCCAAGUUCUAUAGAAAUUUUAGAGUAUUCAUCAGAUAGUGAAAAAGAAGAUGACUUGGAAAAUGUCCUACUCAUUGAUUCAGAAUCCCCUCACAAAUACCACGUGCAGUUUGCAUCGGAUGCAAGACAGAUUAUGGAGCAACUGAUAGAUCCAAGGACAAAAUCAACAGAGACCAUUUUGCAUACACCUCAGAAACCCACAGCUAAGUUUCCCAGGACUCCAGAAAAUUCAGCAAAGAAGAAGCUUUUAAGAGGUGGACUAGCAGAAAGACUAAAUGGGCUGCAGAAUCGAGAGAGAUCUGCUAUUUCUUUGUGGAGACAUCAGUGUAUUUCUUACCAAAAGACACUUUCAGGUAGAAAAUCUGGUGUAUUAACUGUGAAAAUUUUAGAGCUGCAUGAGGAAUGUGCCAUGCAAGUUGCCAUGUGUG